GUCGCCGUAGAACUGGGGUUUCAAAGCGGCAUGUGCCUUCGAUAUGCAAUGCCCUUGGAAAUCCCAAACGUGCAGGCGAC
rnacentral:pre_miRNA from 1 species